rnacentral:rRNA from 1 species
AGUCGAGCGGAUGACAGGAGCUUGCUCCUGAAUUCAGCGGCGGACGGGUGAGUAAUGCCUAGGAAUCUGCCUGGUAGUGGGGGACAACGUUUCGAAAGGAACGCUAAUACCGCAUACGUCCUACGGGAGAAAGCAGGGGACCUUCGGGCCUUGCGCUAUCAGAUGAGCCUAGGUCGGAUUAGCUAGUUGGUGAGGUAAUGGCUCACCAAGGCGACGAUCCGUAACUGGUCUGAGAGGAUGAUCAGUCACACUGGAACUGAGACACGGUCCAGACUCCUACGGGAGGCAGCAGUGGGGAAUAUUGGACAAUGGGCGAAAGCCUGAUCCAGCCAUGCCGCGUGUGUGAAGAAGGUCUUCGGAUUGUAAAGCACUUUAAGUUGGGAGGAAGGGCAGUAACUUAAUACGUUGCCGUCUUGACGUUACCGACAGAAUAAGCACCGGCUAACUCUGUGCCAGCAGCCGCGGUAAUACAGAGGGUGCAAGCGUUAAUCGGAAUUACUGGGCGUAAAGCGCGCGUAGGUGGUUUGUUAAGUUGGAUGUGAAAGCCCCGGGCUCAACCUGGGAACUGCAUUCAAAACUGACAAGCUAGAGUAUGGUAGAGGGUGGUGGAAUUUCCUGUGUAGCGGUGAAAUGCGUAGAUAUAGGAAGGAACACCAGUGGCGAAGGCGACCACCUGGACUGAUACUGACA